UUAAUACCACUGAGUAUUCAGUGGGGAUCAGUGUUGGUUAAAGAAUUCAGGUGUAUGGCCUCUGUGGCUUCCAUACUUGGAUGCAGAACUCAAAAGGAGAUACGUUUUAUUAAAUUACAAGC